rnacentral:tRNA from 1 species
GGUGGCUCAGUGGUAGAGUGCUUGCCUUGCAUGCAUGAGACCCUGGGUUCGAUUCCUAGCACCA